rnacentral:rRNA from 1 species
UACACUCCUACGGGAGGCAGCAGUGGGGAAUAUUGCACAAUGGGCGCAAGCCUGAUGCAGCCAUGCCGCGUGUAUGAAGAAGGCCUUCGGGUUGUAAAGUACUUUCAGCGGGGAGGAAGGCGAUAAGGUUAAUAACCUUGUUGAUUGACGUUACCCGCAGAAGAAGCACCGGCUAACUCCGUGCCAGCAGCCGCGGUAAUACGGAGGGUGCAAGCGUUAAUCGGAAUUACUGGGCGUAAAGCGCACGCAGGCGGUCUGUCAAGUCGGAUGUGAAAUCCCCGGGCUCAACCUGGGAACUGCAUUCGAAACUGGCAGGCUAGAGUCUUGUAGAGGGGGGUAGAAUUCCAGGUGUAGCGGUGAAAUGCGUAGAGAUCUGGAGGAAUACCGGUGGCGAAGGCGGCCCCCUGGACAAAGACUGACGCUCAGGUGCGAAAGCGUGGGGAGCAAACAGGAUUAGAUACCCGAGUAGUCCCA